GGUUCACCCUUGUGCCGUGAUUUGACAUCAUUCAUAUUGGAAUCAUUUUAUAAAAAUAUUAGUGUCGGCGAAUUGCACCAACUGUUACUUAAAACUUUCGUAUUAAAAUUAGUAUUUAGUUAUCACAUUAGUAUUAAGGAUAAGAAGAAACCAUCUAAUUUGUUUUUCAAAGAAUUAAGUGGCCGACAACAUUCUAGGUAGAGACACGGCUGGUAUGGCCGUUUGGGAAGUAGUUCUAUAAUGCUUUGCAAUUACUUUGUACGGUAUUAACUUGUGCGUUAUCUCUAAGAUGCUCGUUCUAAUUUAAAGUAAAUGUAUUCUCAAUGUGUUGCUCAUUAUAAUGAACAGGAAGAAUUUUUUAUGUUCAGUUAGAUUUCUUUGUUGUUUGUCGUGUGGUGUGUCCUCAAGAAAUCUCAUUUUUUUUGCACCUCCUCCCCAGGACCGGAAGCAUUAGUUCCCUGGAUUUUGGAGCUUUCACCCCGGACACUUCAAUACUUUUUUCAUUUACUUACAUCUUGAUUAAAAUAUAUUUUACAUACUUGAUAGAAGAAAACUUUAAUUUUAACCCUAGUAGCCAAGAUCUGACGUCAGUCUUACGUUAAUUUGGCUACAAGAGAAGCCUCUUUCGUUGCAUGAAAUAGUGUGUUUAAUCAAUCUUGUAGUGAAAAAUCCAAGAAUGUUUCGAGCUUCUAAGAUGGAAUUGUCGUUUUUAUCUAUUUUACUAUGCAAGAUAUGAAUAAUGGAGUGGACUAGAAGCAAAUAAACCUGUGACAGCGGAUUUUGGAAAAAAUCUUUGAUCAAGACAGGAAACAGGCUAAGCCAUCUAGUUUUGGAAUGAUAUUUCAAUAUGUGUGUGACAUCAGCUGUCUCACAGAACUCUUUGAGGGAUUCGGUUUGAACUGUGUAUAUAGAAAAAUAAUUGUAAAUUUUCAAGACGAUAGUCUUAGCGUCCACUGGGAGUAAGUCACAUGAUGAAUGGCGUUGUUAAUAACGUGUGCAGAGCAACCAACACUAACCAGAUUCAGGGUUCAGAUUUUGUUUUAGCAUUGUAGUUAAUUCAAUGAUUCUUAACCUUUUUUUUGUUGCGGCACAUAUUUAACGAUUUCAAAAUUUGGUGGCACACAAAGAAAAAGAUAAAAAUUAUUUAUUUACUACAACACACUGCAUAAAUAGCUUAUGACAAAAAUUUUAAAUAUACAAAAUAAACUAAUAUAUAUGCACUACAAUAAUAACUAAACGUUUAUUAAGGGAUUAAUUACAAGCUAAUAAUAAAAAUAUUUUUAAUGCGAAAUUUGAGCUUGAUGUUUUUUGAUACUCCCAUUUAUAUUUGGUCGCAAAAAUGACAAUGCUACUCUCAUAUUCUCAUAGUCUUCUACGUUUAACAAUCUUGAUCUUUUUUAGUUUUAAUUUUGGCUAAUGCUGAAAAUCCGAAUUCACACAAAUAAGAUGUGGAAAAUUGUAAUAAUAUGUUUAAAGCUUUUUUGGCUAUCAUUGGAUAAUCGCAUCUGAUGUUAAUCCAAAAUGAAUCAGAUUCUUCGGAAUGUUUUAAAAUUAAAUCUUGAUUAUUGGAAAGCAAAUUGAGUUCUUCCUCUUCAUUCAAAGUUAAGUCAAAUACAGAAGUAUCCGAGAAAUGGAUUACGAACCCAAUCAAAUUUCUUAAUAUCUAAUUUUGGGAAAUAAUGAAUAAUUCUCUCCUCUAAUGUUGUCAAAUGAUCAACAACAAUUAAUUUAAUAGUUUUAUAACUGUCUUUAGGGACUGACUCAAACUUUUCUAAAUUGCCUUCCUGAGCUUUAUUUUUCUGAUAUUUCUGAUAAAGAGAAUUUAAUGUGUUAUUGUACAAUCAACAAGCAACUCGUUGAAUGGCUUCCUCCGACAUAUAUAAAAUAACAUUAAGUUUAUAAAACGUUCUCUGUAAUUAUAGCUACAAAAGUCAUAACAUUAUUUCUGAAAAAAAAAUGUGUAAUAUAGUAGGAAUUUUGAAUUGAAAUUGCACGACCAGUCUAAAUGUAGCACGACUAGUCUAGUAAAUAUAGUGUUAACAGCAAUCAAUUCAGCUAUUUCGUAAGAAGCUUCUUGAGCCUUUUCAGACACACAUACUUGUUUUUGAAAAACUUUUACUUGCUUAAUUUUUGAUGAUAAAGACCUUUCAAAGUAGCUUUUAUCUUUUGUCGAAAGCGAAGGAAUAGCACUAUUUGAUAAUUGAAAACCAAAUAUCACACCCUCGGGAACAACUAUGUCAUAUUCCAUUGUAGAGGUAAAUCCACAUUUCAAAAAAUCAUCAUUAUAUUUCCGAUGGACAACGUAUUUUUAGUUGUAUUUUUACUUAUGCCGGGGGUUGGCUCAUUAACUUGGUCCCCAACGUUAUCAUUAUCAUAAUCAUUAAAUUUUCUUCUUUUAAACCAUUUAUCUAUUUUCAGAAGGAUCUGUUAAAAUAAAAAUAAUAUUGUCGAAACAUUUAAAAAAAAUGGU